UAAACUUAAAAGUGAAGAAAAAAGAAAGUU
rnacentral:piRNA from 1 species